rnacentral:rRNA from 1 species
UACGUAGGUGGCAAGCGUUGUUCGGAAUUAUUGGGCGUAAAGGGCGCGUAGGCGGUUUGUUAAGUCGGCUGUGAAAGCCCGGGGCUCAACCCCGGAGGGUCAGCCGAUACUGGCAGACUAGAGUACGGAAGAGGUAGCUGGAAUUCCCGGUGUAGCGGUGAAAUGCGUAGAUAUCAAGAGGAACACCUGAGGUGAAGACGGGUUGCUAGGCUGACACUGACGCUGAGGCGCGAAAGCCAGGGGAGCAAACGGG